GACGAACGCUGGCGGCGUGCUUAACACAUGCAAGUCGAACGGAAAGGCCCUGCUUUUGUGGGGUGCUCGAGUGGCGAACGGGUGAGUAACACGUGAGUAACCUGCCCUUGACUUUGGGAUAACUUCAGGAAACUGGGGCUAAUACCGGAUAGGAGCUCCUGCUGCAUGGUGGGGGUUGGAAAGUUUCGGCGGUUGGGGAUGGACUCGCGGCUUAUCAGCUUGUUGGUGGGGUAGUGGCUUACCAAGGCUUUGACGGGUAGCCGGCCUGAGAGGGUGACCGGCCACAUUGGGACUGAGAGACGGACCAGACUCCUACGGGAGGCAGCAGGGGGGAAUAUUGCACAAUGGGCGGAAGCCUGAUGAAGCAACGCCGCGUGCGGGAUGACGGCCUUCGGGUUGUAAACCGCUUUCGCCUGUGACGAAGCGUGAGUGACGGUAAUGGGUAAAGAAGCACCGGCUAACUACGUG
rnacentral:rRNA from 1 species